rnacentral:rRNA from 1 species
UACGUAGGGGCCAAGCGUUGUCCGGAUUUAUUGGGCGUAAAGAGCUCGUAGGCGGUUCGGCAAGUCAGCUGUGAAAUCUCCACGCUCAACGUGGAGGGGUCAGCUGAUACUGCUGUGACUCGAGUCCGGUAGGGGAGUGUGGAAUUCCCGGUGUAGCGGUGAAAUGCGCAGAUAUCGGGAGGAACACCAGUGGCGAAGGCGACUUCCUGGCCUGUUCUUGACGCUGAGGCGCGAAAGCUAGGGUAGCAAACGGG